GUCAGCAUGGUCAAGUGGUUUGAGCAUCAGACUAUGACUCUGGAGAACAAGGUUCUAAUCCUGCUUGACUACA